rnacentral:tRNA from 1 species
ACCCACGUGGCGGAAUUGGUAGACGCGCUAGGUUGAGGGCCUAGUGUCCGUUUAGGACGUGCUGGUUCGAGUCCAGUCGUGGGUA